UACGUAGGGGGCAAGCGUUGUCCGGAAUCAUUGGGCGUAAAGAGCGCGUAGGCGGCCCGAUAAGUCCGCUGUGAAAGUCAAGGGCUUAACCCUUGAAUGCCGGUGGAAACUGCCAAGCUGGAGUACGGUAGGGGCAGAGGGAAUUUCCGGUGGAGCGGUGAAAUGCGUAGAGAUCGGAAAGAACACCAACGGCGAAAGCACUCUGCUGGGCCGACACUGACACUGAGAGACGAAAGCUAGGGGAGCAAACAGG
rnacentral:rRNA from 1 species